AAAAACAUGGCCCUCCGCAUAUGCUCAUACCUCUGAGUAUAAUAUUCACGGGAGGUCACACCUGCACAAUGGCCUACGGGUUCAAUUGCCGCGGUAACCUGACCGUGCAAAGGUAGCGUAAUCAAUAGCCUAUUAAUUGUUGGCCUGUAUGAAUGGUACGACGCUGGUGGUGCUGUCUCAGUUGCAUUUAUUUGAACUUAACUUCCGGGUGAAAAGGCCCAGAUAAAUCUGAAAGACGAUUAGACCCUAUCGAACUUUAGGUAGAUCAGCUGUCAAGACACCCAGUAAGGGUAGAGCCUGCCUGCUGCUUAAACCUUUGGUUGGGGUAACCGGGGGUUAAAAAAACCGCCCCCCUCCUUUGAAAGUAGACACCCGCAUGAUGAAGGUAGUAAAGAUUUUACCUCCAGGGCAAUUGGCCUUCAGGAAAGUACCACCUUUUAUAAAUUAGGAAAGUCUGACAAGACAUAACUUACUUAUAGAAUGAACCUAAAGAACUGUUUGCUAUCAGUCAACUGUUAAUAGGGAAGAGUUACCGUAGGGAU
rnacentral:rRNA from 1 species